UACAUGUUAUUCGUUCUUGAAC
rnacentral:miRNA from 1 species